UCUAAAAAAAAAAGGUUCCUUGAGGUUCUAUAUAGAACCGUUGGGUUCUAUACUUGGCCAAUAGAACCUUUUACCAAAAAAAGGGUUCCAUAUAGAACCCUUGGAAGGCAAAGAACCAUUUUUAUUAAAAUGGUUCUAUAAUUCACGUUUUCUGACUGAAGUGUAAACUAAAGAUUACACAAUAAUUGCAGACCUACACAACUCAUUUACAAACCUACACAACUCAUUCACAAACCUUUUUGUGUCAAUAGGCUGUGGUCAAAAAAAGAGAGAGUCAACAAAUAGGCUAUUAAUAUUUAGUGUAUGAUUUAUUUCCUGUGAGCUUUUUUAUGCAAGUUUGUACAUUAGCAUGAAACUUACAGUGCAGUUUGCGUUUCUGGUGAAUUAUCAGGUGUUUUCUUUAUUUUGUACAUUCUAUAUUGUCAAUGUUUGUUUAAUUUAACCUGAAGGGGCAUUAAAAACAAAUAAUCGCAAAAGUGCCCUCUGGUGGCGUAUAUAUGCGUUGCACCAGAAGAUGAGCCUCGUGACGUGACAGUUUUUUUUUCAAACUGAGGUGAGGAGUUCGGACUCCGGACCGGCAUUUCUGCUUGUUUGUACCCUGUCCCUGAGAUAACCAUGGUUAAUAAAUGGUCAGACACGUCACUGGCUUUAAAAUAUAAACCCCAUUGAUGCAAAAAGAUGCUGCAUGGAAUGACAAUGAGGUUUGGAACAGACUUGGUGAAGAACAUGAAAACAUCUCUAAAUAAAAUGGCGCCAAACAUCAUCAGGAGUGCAAAAGAAGGAAGUAAAAACAUCUCUACACCAAUCUCAUUGGAGAGGAAACCACAGAAGGUCUGGUGAGGAAUGCUGCACUUCUGUUAUUGCAAGCAUUAUUUCAAGAAAAUCCCAGCUUCCUUUACUGUGUAAAUAGUGAACCUAAAGGUCCCACACCAACCAUAGUGUUCAACGGCUCUCCUGAUCUUCUCAAAUCUGAAAGUAUCAACUGUAUAAUGGACAAUGUGAACUUAAUAUGUGGAAGACAUUGACAUCACAGGCUGUGGAAUGACUGUGUCACAGGUCAGAGAAGCGGACCGCCCCUGUCGCGGAUCACGCUCCUCCUAGUUCCACCUUGAGGAGGUCCCAAAGCACCCCAAUGACCAGACAAACCAGAGAUAAGUAAAAUAUAAAAAUAGAAACUUUAUUUAAAUUAUCUAAAACUAAAGUGGGGAAUUGGAAAGGGAAUCUAAAAAUCUCGCUUCUCGCCCUCAGGGGGAGUAUUAAGGGGCCAGGGACGUUGGAGGGGUUUCCACGUGACUCCACCUCGAACACCGCUACAGAGCGUAUCUGGCUGGGUUGGGCACACACCGUCGCGGCGGCCCCUGAUGGCAUCCACAAAGGUCCAAGACCCUCCUAAGCUCCCAGCCGUAGCAGAACUACGUAUUUCAGCACCUGAACGACUAACAACCCAGCCGGCAUCUGCAGCGUAUAUCCAACGCGAUCAAACUUCACUCUGACAAGUAACUUCCUAUACACAACCACGCCGUCCUAUCGCCCGGAUCAGCAGAGCCUGCGGACUCUUCGGAGGCUGGUCUUCGUUGUGCUGCCCAAGGCGGAAGUUUACUUCCAGUAACUUCUACCUUCUCUCUUUAUAUCCUCCUCCAUGGCGUGGCUCGCCCAACCAUCGCUCGCCACGUCACUCACACAGCUGUGCCUUGUUUCAGCGAGUGCGGGGAUUCCCGGGGAACCCGGAAGUGCCGGUGUCUGUACAAACUGGUCCGGGCGGAACCUCUUCACUCUCCUUUUGGUUCCGCCCCGCAUAGUCACUCCGUGACAACUGUUUGCGUUUUUUUUUCUCCUCAAUGUUCAAUACCCUUUUGCCAUAAAGCACACAGUGACUUUAAUUUAUAAAAUAUAUGCUUAAGUUUUAAUACCUGUACAAAACAAAUGUACAAUCAACUUGUGUAAAUUGUCAUUCUAUUUAAUAGAUUGUUCAUGAAUUGUCUUUAAAUGCAUUGUGAUUUCGGUAACACUUUACAAUAAGGUUCAUUAGUUAACAUUAGUUAAUGUAUUAACUAACUUGAACAAACCAUGAGCAAUACAUUUGUUACAGUAUUUAUUCAUCUUUGUUAAUGUUAGUUAAUUCAAAUUUAAGCUUUAAUUGCUUGUUCAUGUUAGUUCAGAG